rnacentral:rRNA from 1 species
AACGAACGCUGGCGGCAGGCCUAACACAUGCAAGUCGAACGCACCGCAAGGUGAGUGGCGCACGGGUGAGUAACACGUGGGAAUGUACCCUUUGGUUCGGAAUAACGUUUGGAAACGAACGCUAAUACCGGAUGAGCCCUGUGGGGGAAAGAUUUAUCGCCAAAGGAGCAGCCCGCGUCUGAUUAGCUAGUUGGUGGGGUAAAGGCCUACCAAGGCGACGAUCAGUAGCUGGUCUGAGAGGAUGAUCAGCCACACUGGGACUGAGACACGGCCCAGACUCCUACGGGAGGCAGCAGUGGGGAAUAUUGGACAAUGGGCGCAAGCCUGAUCCAGCCAUGCCGCGUGAGUGAUGAAGGCCUUAGGGUUGUAAAGCUCUUUCGGCGGGGAAGAUAAUGACGGUACCCGCAGAAGAAGCCUCGGCUAACUCCGUGCCAGCAGCCGCGGUAAU